GCCGGGGUGGCGGAACUGGUAGACGCGUUGGUCUCAAAAACCAAUGGUCAUAUGGCUGUGAGGGUUCGAGUCCCUCUCCCGGUACAA
rnacentral:tRNA from 1 species